AUUAUUAAGAAAUUAAUAUUGUUAGUAUAUAAUAAUUAUGAAAACAAAAAAUUAUGGCGGUACUUUAAGCUUUUCAGAGGAAUUUGCUCUUUUAUGGAUAAAACACCAAAAUCUUACUAAAACUAGUUAAAUCAGUUUGUAUACCACUAUAAAAGUAAUAAUUAAUUAUUAUUACUUUAACUUUAUUAAAAAAAAAUAAAUUAAGUCAUGGUGCAGCAUAAGUUUUAGAAUGAAGUGAAUUACAUUUCUUUUUAGAAAUCAUAAAUUAAAAAACAAUUAGGAUUUGAAAGUAAAAAUUUAAUAGAAUGAAGUUUUGAAUAAAGUUCUGAAGUAUGUAC
rnacentral:rRNA from 1 species